rnacentral:tRNA from 1 species
GGUUGUGGCUCAGUGGUAGAGCACUUGCCUAGCAUGUGUGAGGCCCUGGGUUCAAUCCUCAGCACCA